GUAGGGGGCGAGCGUUUGUCCGGAUUUAUUGGGCGUAAAGAGCUCGUAGGCGGCUCAGCAAGUCGGCCGUGAAAGCCUGAGGCUCAACCUCAGGACGCCGGUCGAAACUGCUGUGGCUAGGGUCCGGUAGAGGAGAGUGGAAUUCCCGGUGUAGCGGUGAAAUGCGCAGAUAUCGGGAGGAACACCAGUAGCGAAGGCGGCUCUCUGGGCCGGCACCGACGCUGAGGAGCGAAAGCUAGGGGGGCAAACAGGAUUAGAUACCCUGGUAGUCCUAGCCGUAAACGUUGGGCACUAGGUGUGGCGGAUUCAUUGACAUCUGCCGUGCCGAAGCUAACGCAUUAAGUGCCCCCCGCCUGGGGAUACGGUCGCAAGGCUA
rnacentral:rRNA from 1 species